AACGAACGCUGGCGGCAUGCCUAACACAUGCAAGUCGAACGAGACCUUCGGGUCUAGUGGCGCACGGGUGCGUAACGCGUGGGAACCUGCCCUUAGGUUCGGAGUAACUCCCCGAAAGGGGUGCUAAUACCGGAUAAUGUCUUCGGACCAAAGAUUUAUCGCCUUUGGAUGGGCCCGCGUUGGAUUAGCUAGUUGGUCGGGUAAAAGCCUACCAAGGCGACGAUCCAUAGCUGGUCUGAGAGGAUGAUCAGCCACACUGGGACUGAGACACGGCCCAGACUCCUACGGGAGGCAGCAGUGGGGAAUAUUGGACAAUGGGCGAAAGCCUGAUCCAGCAAUGCCGCGUGAGUGAUGAAGGCCUUAGGGUUGUAAAGCUCUUUUACCCGGGAUGAUAAUGACAGUACCGGGAGAAUAAGCUCCGGCUAACUCCGUG
rnacentral:rRNA from 1 species